UUUCCUUCAGGAGAAAAUCUGAUAAAAUUGGAACAAAAUAGAAAAGAUUAGUAUGACUGCUAUGGAAGGGCUGAAAAAAACUUUCAAACUUCGUCUUAAAUAUAU